AAUGUAUUUUUAAAUGUUAAUUUACACUAUUCCCUAAAGGCUUCACAGCUUCAUGUCUAUGAAGGUUACUGGCUGUUAGGACAAGUUACCUCCCUGCAUAGUCUGGGAACCGACAGUAUUUUGAUAAUUCUCAGUAUGACUGUGGCCCCGGGAGUCAAAGCAUACUGAUAAGAGCAUCUAUAAAAAGGAGCUCUAAAGCUUGCUGCAUAGCACUGCAGCUGCCUGGAGAAUCAACAUUACCCAUGGAAACCUCUGCAGAAAGGUUUCUGCACUCAGCUGCCAUCCUCCAGCUGCGUCAGAAGAGAAGGCUCAAGGCUGUGAUCCAGUGUCUUCUGCUGCUGAUAUAUUUUGCUUCCUCUCUCCUGAAGAACUUCUGUCAUGACAAUUUGCCACUUUGUUUGAAGAAGGUGACUGGAACUUCUCAGAGCUGAAUCUAUUACAGGAGAGCUAGAGGCAUCCUAAACUAGAAGCAAUGUUUUCAGAAAGUCUUGGUAUUCUCUGGCACCACAAGCUACUGACACAAUUGCUGCCUUUGGUUUAACACAUCUCCAAAGCAAACAAGAAAGCACCUUGCGAAGCUGCCAAGAGAAAACAUGCUAAAAACACAGAGCGAGAGGUAACGCAUAGUACGGAAAACCUUUUCAUACGGACAUUGUCAUGCAGGCUGCUAUUCCUACUGACAGGCAUCACCUGCUCCUGUGUCUGUCACAUAACAUCCCAGUGACGAUUCCAGCAAUGGCUUACAUGGAAAAAGGCGUAGGAAAGUACUCAUGUAUUUUUAGCUAUCAUUUUAAAACACAGGUCAGCAGCUGGAGAAAGACAGGAGAAACCAACACCACGUAGGCAAUCACACAUGGUAGAAAUUAGAAAGUAUUACGUGGAUCUCACUUUCUGAACUUCUAAGGUAAACCAUGAGGUUAAAUUUGGGAACAAUUUCUGAGCUCACAUCUGUGUUAUUUCAUUGAGGAUUCCAUAUUUGUGCCUGUGCUGCUCUUGGGGGCAUUAGGAUCUCCUUCAUCAAGGCCUACUGUUUGCUUUUUUUGUGGUAUGCAACUUUUAACCCAAUUGUAGUUUGCUGGUUUUCUUGAAAAAUGAGAAAAUAAGA